ensembl:lncRNA
UGAUGCUGGAACAUACGAGUGUCGUGUUUUCAUUGAAGAAACUCGCUCAUGGAAGAACAGCAUCAUCAUCCACCUGACUGUUGUUGAUCCUCCAGACCCAAAGAUCAUCACAGCUGAGUCUGGACAGGACGUCACUCUGACAUGUCGAGCUCCAAACAACAAGAUCACAGCUGUACAUUGGAGCAGAGCUGACCUGGGAGACAAAUAUGUGCUUUUGUACCAGGAUAAGCAGUUUGUUCCAGAUAGCCAGCAUCCAUCUUUUAAUAACCGGGUGGAUCUGCAGGACAGACAGAUGAAGGAUGGAGACGUGUCUUUGAUUCUGAAGGAUGUGACGAUUAAUGAUGCUGCAAGAUACAAGUGUGAUGUGCUUGUGAAUGAAACAGACUCAUGGAAACUCGUCAGCAUCAUCAACCUGAGGGUUUCCCCAGACCAGAAAAAUAUCACAGCUGAGUCUGGACAGGACGUCACUCUGACAUGUCGAGCUCCAAAUAACAACUUCAGAGAUGUAGAGUGGAGCAGAGAUGACUUGACAUCAGACCAUGUAUUCUUGUACCAGGAUGGUCACUUUCUUCUAGACAGCCAGCAUCCAUCUUUUAUGAACCGGGUGGAUCUGCAGGACAG